rnacentral:lncRNA from 1 species
UUUUUGAUCCAACCUAUUUGGAGUUCUGUAGGCUUCUUGUAUGUUUAUGGGCAUCUCUUUCUUCAGGCUAGGGAAGUUUUCUUCUAUGAUUUUGUUGAAGAUAUUUACUGGUCCUUUAUGUUGGGAAUCUUUACUCUCUUUAUACCUAUUAUCCUUAGGUUUUCCUGUUUUGGGCUAGGAGCUUUUUUGUAUUUUGCGUUUUUUAAACUGUUGUGUUAAUGUUUUCUAUGGUAUCUUCUGCACCUGAGAUUCUCUCUUCUACCUGUAUUCUGUUGAUGAUACUUGAACCUAUGAUUUCUGAUCUCCUUUCUAGGUUUUCUAUACACAGAGUUGUCUCCUUUGUGAUUUCUUUAUUGUUUCUAUUUCCCUUUUAGAUCCUGGAUGGUUUUGUUCAAUUCCUUCACCUCUUUGGUUGUAUUUUCCUGUAAUUCUUUAAGGGACUUUUGUGUUUCCUCUUUAAGGGUUUCUACCUGCUUACCUGUGUUCUCCUGUUUGUCAAGGGAAUUAUUAUGCCCUUCUUAAAGUCCUCCAUCAUCAUCAUGAGUUGUGAUUUUAAAUCAGAGCAUUGCUUUUCUCUUGUGUUGGGGUAUCCAGGGCUUGCUGUGUGGGAGAAGUGGGUUCCAAUGAUGUCAAGUAGCCUUGGUUUCUGUUGCUUAUGUUUUUUCCCUUGCCUGUCACCAUCUGGUUAUCUGUGGUGUUAGAUGGUCUUGCUGUCCCUGACUGUGGCCUGUCCCUUCUGUAAGCUUGUGUGUCAGCACUCCUGGGAGACCAGCUGUCUGUGGGCUGAAUUUUGGUAUGGAAUGCUGUGGCACAGCGUCAGUUCUGGUGUGCAGACAUAAACCAGAAAUAUUCUGUCUCAGACUGUUCCUUAGUUCCUGUGUUCUGAUGGGUCUGGGCAGGUCCCUCUUGGACCAGGCAUUUGAGCAGAAGUGGUGGUCUCACCUGUGUUUGCAGGUGUGUCAGCAGCACUCCUGGGAGAUCAGCUCUCUCUGGGUGGAAUUUGGGUAUGGAGAACUGUGGCAUAGGGUCAGCUCUAGGUGCAGAUGUAUUCUGGAAGAAUCCUGUCCCAGGGUACUCCUUGGUUCCUGUGCCCUGAGGGUUCUUGGCAGGUCCCUCUUGGGCCAGGUAUUUCAGCAGAAGUGGUGGUCUUACCUAUGCUCUCAGGUGUGUUAACGCUCCUGGGAGACCAGCUCUCUCCUGGUGGGAUUUAUUAUGGAGAACUUAGCACAGGGUCAGCUCUGGGGCACAGACAGAAAUUCCUGAGAUUUUUUUUUUUUAAAUGGCAUUUCAUCACUCAAGUCCUGGGUUAUUUUUUAAGGACUGUAACAGGGAUACUGGUUGUCAUCUAGAGGCUCACCCCACUCAUUCCAUGAGAUGGACAAAGUAUCAAAUGUCUGAAAAAGUCAGACGAUCAAUGAGUAGAUAAAACCAAAGCAACAGGCUUAUUUGAAACAGCUCUCUUCAGGAUGGGAAAGGCCUUCAAAAUGGGAGUCUAUUAAACUGAUUCUGGGUUGUGUAUAGGACUCUUGUGUUUUCCUUUUUCUCUUGAUGUUGAUGUUUUGGUUCUUGCCUAAGGCUUAUUAUUAUUAUUUUCUCUCCUAAAUUUUCUGAGAACUAGAAGCAGUCAUCUUAGAGAACCUGUCCUCAUUUUUCCUAUAUCUCUCUAAUAUAAUGUAAUGAAAAUGUUUUUCCACAAGUGUAAAGCCAGACAGAUCAAAUUCAAUAAGUUGGGAAUUGUGCUCAUUUCCCAAGAAAACUGACAUGAGUUUCAGAGAUUUGUACAUAGAUUAGUAUUUUUCUCUCCCUCAAUUAAUAACUGGGAAGGCUAUGAUUAAGAAUUCCUGUUCAUUUCCCUGACAGUUAUGAGGAUUUGGAUAAACAAAUGUUGAUUUAUAUUUGAAAACAAAUUAAUACAAAUGUUUUUGGUCAGUCAUGGAAAGACUACCAAUAUCACAGGUUCUUGGGUAUAGAUUUUCUUUUUUCCAUUUUGUAUCUCCUUGCAUAGGUUUUAAGACUUCUCUAUAUGAACAUGCAGGUGUGUGCACGUGCACACAAAACUGUCAUUAUCUAAAGCAUCCUAUUGUUAUGUAGCAGGAGAAAAAUCCUCUUGUAAACUAAAUUGUUGUUAACUCCAUAGGUACAUAUUACAAUCACAGAACAUACAGUGUUGAUUUAGCAAGGAAUUAACAGUUAAGUAAGGUCAGAUACUUCAUUUCUGAGGAAGAAACUCAUGCCAAGAGAGGUUAAGCAAUAACUUAGACUUCUGGCACAGUUUUAAGAUUGUAUUCACUAUAGCUGGGUUUUUUUUUUUUUUUUUUUACUACAGAGCAAGACAUUGGUGCAUGCUUUGAAUUACAACUUGAAAUACCAGAUUUUAAAAAAUCUUUUCUGCAUUUUCAAAGCUUAUAGCAUAGUGACCCUUUGUAGUGAAACAGGUUCCUCUCAGAUUGAAACGUAUCCUACAGGGAAGCAUGUCCUUUAAGACAGAAAGUAAACAACUUAAGACAGUUUCAGGAAUUCCCAGAAACUGAUUAGAUUCACUAGAUUUCUUUCUCAUAAGAGAAACAGUAUAGACUAUUGAAAGAAACCCUAAGACAAGACAAGACACUAAGGAGACUGACCCAACAGACUGAAAAAAAGCAAGAGAUCAGCAGAGCUGCCUGAAAGAAACAGAGUCCAGCAGAGCCAUCUGGAAGAGAUUUAGGGCAGCUGAACCACUUGGAAAGGACAUUUCCAAUCUGUUGUGCUACCUGCAGGCUUUAAUUUAUGUCCCAAAUCCCAUUUUUGUGAAAAUUUCACCUAUGCUAGGGAGGGCUUUGGUGAUGCAGCUAGCUGUCUUUGAGACAAUUCUCCUGUUCAUAACCUCUCACCUAUAUUCCUAUAAGUAAACCCAAUAAAACUCAUUCGUUCACUG